AUUGAACGCUGGCGGCAUGCCUUACACAUGCAAGUCGAACGGCAGCACGGGAGCAAUCCUGGUGGCGAGUGGCGAACGGGUGAGUAAUAUAUCGGAACGUGCCCGGUCGUGGGGAUAACGUAGCGAAAGCUACGCUAAUACCGCAUACGAUCUACGGAUGAAAGCGGGGGAUCGCAAGACCUCGCGCGAUUGGAGCGGCCGAUAUCAGAUUAGGUAGUUGGUGAGGUAAAGGGCUCACCAAGCCGACGAUCUGUAGCUGGUCUGAGAGGACGACCAGCCACACUGGGACUGAGACACGGCCCAGACUCCUACGGGAGGCAGCAGUGGGGGAAUUUUGGACAAUGGGCGCAAGCCUGAUCCAGCAAUGCCNCGUGCAGGAUG
rnacentral:rRNA from 1 species